rnacentral:rRNA from 1 species
UACGUAGGGGGCAAGCGUUGUCCGGAUUCAUUGGGCGUAAAGAGCGUGUAGGCGGCCAGGUAGGUCGGUUGUGAAAACUGGAGGCUCAACCUUCAGACGUCGACUGAAACCAUCUGGCUAGAGUCCGGGAGAGGAGAGUGGAAUUCCUGGUGUAGCGGUGAAAUGCGCAGAUAUCAGGAAGAACACCCGUGGCGAAAGCGGCUCUCUGGAACGGUACUGACGCUGAGACGCGAAAGCGUGGGGAGCGAACAGG